UGGGGAAUUUUGGACAAUGGGGGCAACCCUGAUCCAGCCAUGCCGCGUGUGCGAUGAAGGCCUUCGGGUUGUAAAGCACUUUUGGCAGGAACGAAAAGGCCUGGGCUAAUACCCCGGGCUGCUGACGGUACCUGCAGAAUAAGCACCGGCUAACUACGUGCCAGCAGCCGCGGUAAUACGUAGGGUGCAAGCGUUAAUCGGAAUUACUGGGCGUAAAGCGUGCGCAGGCGGCCAAGCAAGUCAGAUGUGAAAUCCCCGAGCUCAACUUGGGAACUGCAUUUGAAACUAUUUGGCUAGAGUGCGUCAGAGGGGGGUGGAAUUCCACGUGUAGCAGUGAAAUGCGUAGAUAUGUGGAGGAACACCGAUGGCGAAGGCAGCCCCCUGGGAUGACACUGACGCU
rnacentral:rRNA from 1 species